GAGGGUACAGCUCAAAUGGUAGAGCACAUGCUUAGCAUGCACGAGGUCCUGGGUUCGAUCCCCAGUACCUCCA
rnacentral:tRNA from 1 species